rnacentral:rRNA from 1 species
CCUACGGGCGGCAGCAGUGAGGAAUAUUGGUCAAUGGACGCAAGUCUGAACCAGCCAUGCCGCGUGCAGGAAGACGGCUCUAUGAGGUGUACACUGCUUUUGUACGAGGGUAAACGCAGAUACGCGUAUCUGUCUGAAAGUAUCGUACGAAUAAGGAUCGGCUAACUCUGUGCAAGCAGCCGCGGUAAGACGGAGGAUUCAAGCGUUAUCCGGAUUUAUUGGGUUUAACGGGUGCGUAGGCGGUCGGAUAAGUUAGAGGUGAAAUCCUGGUGCUCAACUUCGGAAUUGCCUCUGAUACUGUUCGGCGAGAGAGUAGUUGCGGUAGGCGGAAUGUAUGGUGUAGCGGUGAAAUGCUUAGAGAUCAUACAGAACACCGAUUGCGAAGGCAGCUUACCAAGCUACUUCUGACGUUGAGGCACGAAAGCGUGGGGAGCAAACAGGAUUAGAUACCCUAGUAGUC